AUAUUUAGUGCUAUUGGCUCUUGAUAAUCAUUAUUUAAUUAGUGCAGAUCCUGAAGCCAGGCUGUCUGGAUUCAAACUCUAUCUCCACCACCUUCCUAUACCUUGGGAAUUGGUGAGACCGUUGUUAAACUGUCGAUGGCUGGAAAUUGGCCAUGGGAAUUGGACCACAGAAAUGGACACCACAGAAAUUGGAAAACACCACAAAAUGAGAGCAUCAGCAUCCCCAGCCUGCUCAACAUUUACCAGCACACCACUGUCCACAUCUGGACAGAAAGGAAAGGCACCAAGUCCAGCCCUGGACAGAUCUGGGUCCAGUCCUGCUCUGACAUCUACCAGUGGUGUGACCGUGGGCAGCACGAGUGAAAG